rnacentral:rRNA from 1 species
UGGGGAAUAUUGGACAAUGGGCGCAAGCCUGAUCCAGCAACGCCGCGUGGAGGACGAAGGUCUUCGGAUCGUAAACUCCUGUCAGACGGGACAAAGACAGCAGGGUAAAUAGUCCUGUUGUUUGACGGUACUGUCAGAGGAAGCCCCGGCUAACUCCGUGCCAGCAGCCGCGGUAAUACGGAGGGGGCGAGCGUUAUUCGGAAUUAUUGGGCGUAAAGGGCGCGUAGGCGGCUUGGCAAGUCAAAGGUGAAAUCCCUCGGCUCAACUGAGGAACUGCCUUUGAAACUGCCUGGCUUGAGGCCGGGAGGGGGUAGCGGAAUUCCCAGUGUAGCGGUGAAAUGCGUAGAUAUUGGGAGGAACACCAGUGGCGAAGGCGGCUACCUGGACCGGUUCUGAUGCUGAUGCGCGAAAGCGUGGGUAGCAAA